ACAACUUUCGUCGGUCUGUAUAAAUAAAGACGUUGUGACAAAUAAGACAACUGAAUUACCAGUAAACAUCGAGGAUGCAUUCUUUAUUUAUUAUUGUAUUCUUUGGUAUCGUAGGUAUUUCACUGAGUUGUGUACCAUGUAAGAGAGACAGGGACUGUAAAUGUAGAUCUUACAGCAAUUCAACUCCUCACUGUCAUGAUUUUGGCAAUGGACGUAAAUGCUGUUACUGUGAAAUACCGAUUGAAUGUAGACCUAAUGGCUAUCCCAACGGUUGUCCGUCAAGAAGAUGUCGGUGUGUUCCUGAACUCUCUCACCACCACUGCGAUUGUCCACAGUAGAGGAGAAGAUUAAGUGGAGAAGAUCUACAAAAGUAAACAAGGCGUUUUGUACUUCUAUAAUAAAGUAUCAGUUAUAAA